rnacentral:lncRNA from 1 species
UGUUUAUCCCAGUGGCAGAAAAGAGGAUUAAUUAUUUCUAUGAAGCUAACACUUCUCUUUGUGUCAAAGUGCUGGGAAAGAGCACAUUUACCUUAAAAAAUGCAUGUUUUUGUAAUUUGUGCUUUUCAUUUCUAUAUUAGACAAUGGAUUCACUGAGAGCAGGAUCUGUUUGCUGAUUCUCUUGGAAAAGCCAAUCCAACAGUGACAAGCAUUUGGAAGUCUAACUUCUACUACAAAGGCCUAUGGACUGGAUCUAACAUAAGAACGGAGCCCUGGAAGGAAGACAGGCAAAGCCUUCUUGGCCCAGGAGUUUACCACUGUCAGAGCACCAGCAACCACAAUCGUUCCUUGCUAAUCUCUGACCCAGGGGACAUUGCCAUGGGGGUUACUGCUCUGCAGGUAGGUGUCUCCUUUCUAGCUCAAACAAGACACAGUCGCUCACUUCAUAUGUCCUGGUGCCACUCACUACCAGCCAACUGAGGUUCCAGCACAGCUCCACAUAUCUCUUCAAGACACAUUCAGAGGAUACCUGGUGAGAUUUUUAGGAUUUCUUCUGCAUCUCAGCUUCUGUCUUGAGUAGCUGAAGGGCAUCAGGGCAAGUUACUGAAGGUUUGGGUUAUUAUAGUCUACCUACAUAACCACCUGGCAACAACAACUUAAUAAAUGAGAAAACAAAUGUAAAGUGCCUAGAAUAGUGCCAGGUACAUAGCGAAUGCUCAGUAAAUGAUACAUUCUUGCAAUUUAAUCAUUUUGGAGCUCCUCUUUUAGGAGGAAGGAGAGAUAUACAUGGUUCUAACUGAGGGGGCCCUGUGUAGAAGUUCCAUGGCCCUGGCUUGGUUGAGGAUGUGAUCAGCAAAAGGGUAAGAUGUAGAAUUUGGAAUAAUCCAGUUGCAGAAAGAGUGACAGAUCCAAGAUAUUUUCCACAAGCAGUAUUCCGUGAGGGCCUCAGGGAAUCCCUGUGUGAUCAAAUGGAUAUUUUUACACAGAAGCCAUCCACCUGCACGUUCUGAUGGGCAUGUUGUUGGAAACCAAGCUUAGGACUUAGCUGCGCAUGGGAAACAGUUCACUGAAAAUUUUGCUACCCCAGAAGUGAGGUAGAUAGAAGUCCUGGAGCAAAGAGGUGUCAUUCUCUUCCCAGUCAGACCAGGGAAGAGGGCAUGCUGCCAGGAAGGGCACGUGAACCUCCCCUAAUCUUCCACUUCUUCCCAGUAUUCUGCUGUUAUGAGGACAAGGAGUUUAUGACUUGCUUUUUUAUGGUGAUAAAAUAACAUAACAAACAGAUUAUCAUUUUAGUCAUUUUAAAGUGUGCAAUUCGGUGGCAUUUUGUACAUACACAAAGUUGUAUAACUCUCAGCACCUAGUUCCGGAACUUUUUGUCACCUGAGAUGGAAAUCUAUACCCAUCAAGCAGUCAUUCCACGUUUCCCCUUCUCCCAGUCCUUAGCAACCACUAAUCUGCUUUCUAUCCCUACAGAUUUGCCUUUUUUCGACAUUUCAUAAAAAUGGAAUCAUACAAUAUGUGGCUUCUUGUGUUUGCCAUCGUUCACAUAGCAAAAUAUUUUCAAGGUUCAUUCAAGUUGUAACAUGUACCAGUACUUUAUUGUUUUAUGGCUGAAUAAAAUUACAUUAUAUGAAUGUACUAUGCUUU